rnacentral:rRNA from 1 species
UACGUAGGGGGCAAGCGUUGUCCGGAUUUAUUGGGCGUAAAGAGCGUGUAGGCGGCUUUACAGGUCCGUUGUGAAAACUCGAGGCUCAACCUCGAGACGCCGGUGGAAACCGUAAAGCUAGAGUCCGGAAGAGGAGAGUGGAAUUCCAGGUGUAGCGGUGAAAUGCGUAGAUAUCUGGAGGAACACCGGUGGCGAAGGCGGCAUCCUGGACCGGUAUUGACGCUGAGGCGCGAAAGCCAGGGGAGCAAACGGG